GUAGCUCUGACAACUGAUCAACAUAUUCUUGAGCAAAAAUGUCAACCAUCGCGGAGAACUGUUGGCCAACUUUGAUGAAAAUAGGACCCAAUCUCAAGGUACUUUCCUUUCACCACUUUGUCAAGGUCUUCCACCUUAGAACUUGCUUUUCCUCAGUCAUUCCUCCUGCUUGUAUGCAACCUUAAAACUGGAUAUAUAACACCAAACAACUAGAAACCAUAACAACAUUAUAAGAACUAAAGAAACCGUAAUUAGAAACAACACACUAUAACAAAAUAGACUGCCCAAAAGCAAAUUUAAAAACUAGUCCUGCCUCUUUGCAAAGCAUGAAAACUAGAUCAGUUGAACAAAGCAUAGAUUAGACCAUUUUGCUUUAACAGUAAAAAACAAUAGCCAAGUUAUAUAGCCCUUAAUCUCUUUCAGAAGAAAACCUUUCUUUACCAAAACUUUAUACACAAAGUAAUUUCCAUACAUGAUAAAUCAUAAUUGACUUAUCCAUCACCUUAAACACUUCUAGCUCAUCAAUUUGAACAACUUUUGCAUAUUCAAAAUUUUUCCUAUUAGAUAUAGAUUGUAAUAGUGGGCUUAGCCCACUACUUAACUUGGUUUGUGCUCCCUAAAAAGCAUUGCUAGGUUCACCAGCUAUCACAAUUUAAACAUCAAAGGAUUUAUCUCAAGGACAUAGGCCCAACCUUAAGCCACCCCUUAAACUUCCAUAUUCCACCAUUUGGUGCAACUUCCAUAUUCCAUCAACCAUCUAAAAAGACAAAAGGCAAAAUAACAAAGGAUCUCAAGAAAAUUUAAUACCCUGAUAAUGUUACUGAAUGCUGGAUCAUGUCAGUAAUUCAAAACCAAUUCUUUUCGCAAAUUAGCAAUUCUAUUUAUAUAUGCAACACAGGAAUAUUAAUUCUAUUCAAUAAAAUCCUUUUAUCUAGUAAAACUAUAAUUAGGGUUUAUAAAAGGUAAAACAAUGAAUUUGUCAUGAUGCAUUCUUUCACAAAUUCCAUAAAAUGUCACUUAGCAUCAUAUGUCAUGGAUGAAAUUUGGGAUUUUCCAAUUUUUACAAUCUAAACAAUUGUCAAAAUGAAAAUAUGGGGCAGUUGCAGACAGUCAUGCAGAUGGACUUCAUUAUUUAACAGCUGCAAAACCAUGAAGCAGAUGACCUCUAACCUAACCAAAACCAAUUGACAUUGAGGCAUACACUAUCUACUUUUAUUUUUGUUUCCUUUUGUUUCAUCAUGUGGAAGAAAGAAAUGCUUUACUGUAAGACAAAUUAUAUUUGCCAAGAAGACCAGAGUGGAAACAAUACGUCUUUAAGAGCAAAAGAAAAAAAAAACCGCAAAUCUAGCAGUCACUGACCUCUAUCGGAGAAUUUCUGAUUGUUCAACCAUGUCUUUAUAUAAAAGUUAGAACAAAUCCCCAUAUUUCCAAGGUCCUUUGCAUUGUUGAGUAGGUUUUGAAUCUACUCCAACGCCCCGCAGGAGCAACAGAAACCUUAGAGAUUUAUUGCCAUAAGAUGAUGGUUAACACAAAAUUAAAGGGGAACACACAAACACACCCAGACACAUCCACAGCUUAUACUUAAUUAGAAAGCACACCAAAAAAGAGAUGGUUGUGACACUAAAAAAGAUUGAUGCAGUCAGCUUAGCAUAUACUCUGUAAGUCAAGUAAAUAUCAAAUAUACAUCAAAGAAAACGGUGAGAAUGCACAUCCAGGAAAAAGCACCUUGUUACUAGCUUAAAUAUGCUCCACCAUUUUUGGUUCUCGCCCGACCAACUUGGGAUCUAAUAUCAUCUUCAAGAUUGAGAGGUUUAAGAAUUAAGAGGGGGAAGCCACCCCUUGUAUAGCCCAACCAUUGGACAAAAUAUGAACAAAUUAAUCAACUUCUCUAUUAAAUUUGCAAACUCAGAUUUUGUUGUUAGUAGCCAUACAUAGUCCUCUUGACUGUCAAAUAAGUAAUAAGUUGAAAAGGAAAAAAAAAUUGGUAUAUGUUACUGCCAUGGUGUAAGUAAAUCAUAGGAUUCUACAAGCUUUACCAUUACCUCAGUAUUGCAUCAAGACUCAGCACUGGGUACACUUCUUUUUGCAUUAGAUAUGAACGAGCUUACUGUACAUAUCCAAGUUAAAGUGCCAUGAUGUAUGUUAUUUGCGUAUGAUAUAGUCUCAGUUGUUGAAACUAAUGAUAAUCUUAAUGUGAAAUUAGAAUUAUAGAAGCAUAUAUUGAAGUCUCAAAGCAUAAAAUUGAGUAGAUCUAAAACUAAAUAUAUGAAAUGUAAGUUUAGUAAUUAUGGGAAGCGAGUGCUAGUGUGAUUAAGUUGGAUGGUGGGUAGUAUCAAAGAGUAGUCAUUUUUUAUAUUUGGGAUCAAUUAUUCAAAGCGAUGCUGAGAUUAAAAUGGACAUAAAUCAUAUGAUUCAAGCAAAAGGGUGAGAUGGUGAAGUGCAUUGGGUGUGUUAUGUGAUUGCAACAUAACUUUAAAGUUAAAAGCGAAAUUGUAUAAAACAAUUGUAAGGCUUGCGUUGCUAUAUGGAUCUGAGUGUUAGGUCGUUAAGAAAUAAUAUAAGAAGAAAAUGAGCGUAGCUGAGAUAAGGAUGCUUAAAUAGAUGCGUGGUAAGACUAGAAGAGACAAAAUCAGAAAUGAAGAGAUUCCAAAAAAAUUAGGGAUAGUCUGAAUUGAACAAAGGAUGGGAGAGGGCCGUUUGAGAUGAUUUGGACAUGUAAAACAUAGGCCUAUUUGUGCACCAGUUAAGAGAAUUGAGCUUCUAGAUUUAGGUGAAACCAAAACUUCUAGAGGCAGAUCACAAAAGAAAUGAAUGCAAAUAAUAAAAAAUGAUAUAAGUGUUAGGAAAGUAGAUGAAAAGGGUGUUGUUGAUAUAAAUAAAUGGCGCAAAAAGAUUCAAAACUACAACCUAGCAUGAUUCUUUUUUUGGCCUUUCAUACAACUAACCCAGAGUUAUGCUAUAAGGCCCAGUUUGUUGUUGUUAGUAUAUACUUUUGCAUCAGUCAUGCAGAUCUACAACCGAUAAAUUAAAGCAAUGCUACAGACUCUGAACUAGUAGUACAUUUGCUUAAAAGCAAGCAAAACCUUCACAUCCAAAUUUAUUUUAUUAAAGUGCAGAUAAAAGAAAUUUCAUAUAUGUUAAAUUUGGGUUAAAUAUAAUAGACAUGCAACCUAAAAUCAAUUAAGAAUAAGUGGAGUGACCUUGUUAUAUUUAUGCACCCAGAUUAACCCCAAUUUAAUAGAUUUGGGAUUUCUUUUAUUCCAUUCUUAUAAAAUUCAAAUUCCAUAAACCCUAUAUCUAACUAUUAUAUAAUAGCAGAAGCAACAUGUAUUUCAAAAAAUUAUGGCACCACUUAGUUGUUAAUUUUGUUAAUUGUUUUUUGCUCCGAAAAACAAAAUGGAAAGAUAAUGUUUGAAUACAAGAUUAAAUAAACAUAUAAUUUAGAAAAUUAAUCAUACAAAAUAUCACAUUUUGUAAAGAAUAAAUACAUAAUCUACUUUUAUAUUUUGAACUAUUACGUUAAAAUUGUUGUAUUUUAGUCACUUCAGUCAUUUGUUGCCUCUGAAUUAAUAUGGUUUCCUUUCUAUCAUUCGCUUUGCUUUGCAGUUUGCAGAAAUUUUUAAGAAUCAAAAAGCAAGGAACAACGAAAUGAAAAACAACAACAAAACAAAAAAAAUGAAUUUUUUAAUUCAAUUCCAAGUUCCCAACUGAGUAAAACCAAGUACCUCGACCUGUUCUUCAGUGCUACGCUUGAACCAAGCCUCCUGUUUCCCAAUCUCUUCUACCCUCUUCUUCCUCGUCUCCUCCGAAACUACUCCGUCUACUUCCACCACCAAAACGUCCGCCGCCGCAGCACCAUUCCCAUUCCCGUUCACGUACUUCACCAAGCUCCCAUUGCUCUCACUCUCCACCACUCCUACCCCACCACUGAUAGAUCCCUCAACUGAUCCAUUAUUAUACAGGUACUUACUUGCACUACCAUUUCCAUUCAAUACAAACCUACCGUUAACUUCCUUGAUAAAUUCUUGCUCCCUUUCCUCGUAGGCAACUCCUUCCUCUUUAAGAACUCGAACACGAGAACGCGAAACGACGCCGUUCCAGAAAUGGCUAUUCCCAGAGAAAGAGACUCUAAAGAGAGAAGAACAUCUAGAGAGAUAAAAGCGGUAUUUUUAAGUUGUUCUUGGAGUGAGAAAGUGAAGCUCUUGUAAUGGUAGAGAUGAAGCCAUUAAUGUAACAGAAUUAUCUUUUUCUUUCAACAAAAAAUUUGAAUCAAACCCUAACUAACACCCAAAAUUUUCAUUAUUUCCCCCUUUUUUUUUUUUUGGUUAGUUUUAGAACUGUGAAGGUUUUGUGGUGGGAGAGUGAAGAGAAACGGACAAAUUUUAAGAAAAUGAAAUGAAGAAGGAAAGAAGAAAUAAAAAGUGAAAAAUGCGAGGAAGGAAAUAUAUGUAAUUUUAAAGAAAGAAAAAAAAAAAGGGUGGAGAUUAAGAGGACACGUGGCAGAGAAGUAUCGAGAGAGUGGGUAUUUUGAGAAUUGUGAUUGGAGGAGACUGUUGCGGGAGAUGUCUUGGUCAGAAAGUCUCAUUGAGUAUACGAAAUUCAAUUGUACUCUUUUUAGCUUACGUUAAUUAAUUUUUGUUUUAAUUGAAGUUACCUUUAAAAAGAAAUCUUAGACGCGUGUGUUGGAUUAGAAUUAAAAUUUUAUUUCAGUACGAGAUUGAUUUUAAUAAGAUUAAAGUAAUAAUAAAAAUAUUAUAAUUAUGAUUAAAAAAUAUAAUAAUUAUAAUUAAAAAAUUUUAUUUAAAUAAAUUUCAUCAAAAUUAUUAUUUAAAUUUAAUUAAUAAUAAAAUAAAUUUAACUCAUCACAUUAAAAAUAUAAUGAUAUCUAACAUUCACUUGUGAUUUAUUUGGAUAAACGAUAAAAUUAAUUUUAAUAAAAUUAAAAAAAAUGAUAAAAAUAAAAUCAGAUAUGAUAAUGAUAAAAUUAAAUAUUAUAAAAUUGAGAUUAAAAUUAAUGAUAAGAUAUGUGUUUAAAUGCAAACAUAACGAUGAAAUAAAAUAUAACGAGAAGAAAAAAUAAUCAUUAAAGAUAUUAAAUAAAAAUUUGUAUAAUAAAAUUUUUAAUAUAUUUUUUACAUUUUUGAAUUAAUUUUUAUAAUAAAUAAUAAAUUUAUUAAAAAUUAAUAAAAAUAAUAAACAAUUAAAAAUUUUUUAGCCUUUUAUUUUAUUACUUAAUUUAUUAAUUAUAUAAAAAAUUUAUUAAAUAAUUAUAAUGAUAUUAUUUGAAAAUAUUUAAAUAAAAAAACUAAAAUAACCAAUAAAACAAAUAAAUAAUACAAAAGAUAAAACCAUAGCAUACAAGUGAUACGGACAUUUUCAUCUCUGCACAGAAAAUUUUAAGGGUAAAAAAAAAAAAAAAAAAAAGAAGAGGGAGCAUGGGUAAUAAAGGAAAGAAAUGCUGCGAUGAGAGUGAAAUGUUUUUAAACCUCCAGUGCAAUUGAAGAGCAUGAAACGCACUGAAUUGUGCUUUUCAAACACUUCAUCAGUCCAGUGAAAUGCUUCAACUAGAUUUCAAUGGAGCUUCAGUUGAAUCCAAAUGAACGCUUAGUCAGGUCAGCCUGUCAGUUGAUGUUGAGCAGCCCUAAACUAACCCAAAAGGGGAAAACCUAACCCCGGUCUGGUGUACAAAGCAUUGGUCACAUGGUCAAGUUUCCAGAUUUUACAAGGAUUUUCUUUUUUUUUUCAUUAAUCAAAACCAACAAAUGCAAAUUUACGAGUCCAGACCAAUGUAUCAUCAGCUCAAUCCCUCACUUGUUGUCAAGUUGGUAUGAAUGUUAGUAAUAAUUAUUUUUGAGUUAAUAUCAUAAAUAGAACCUAUUAUUGUAUUUUUAAUGUGAUAUCUAAAUUAAAAAUUUUUAAAUAGUUACUUAAAUUUCAUUUUUAUUUAUUAAGUUAUUCCAAUUUUAAAAAUCAUUAGAGUAAGUGCUAAUUUGGCAGUCAACAUUGACGUGAAUUACAUGUGAUUACCAUAUGAGAAUAAUACGGAUUCCACAUGUCAUAUUUUAAAAAAUAAAAAUACAAAAUUUUUUAAAUAAAAUAAUUUAAAAAUAGAAAAAAAAACAUUUUUGUAUUUUUGUUUUCUUUUUUAAAUAUUACAAGAAACAAUCACAUCACUAUCACAUAAUAAUCACGUCUCAUCCACAUCACUGUUAACUACAUUAAGGCUUAUUCUAACGAUCUUAGGGAUUAAAAUAAUUUAAUUAAUUUAGAUACCAAUUAAAAUUUUUUUUUUGAUUAAGUAGCACAUUAAAAAAAAAACUGUAAUAGUUCACAGUUAUUUAGGGUAUUCUAUCUAAUUCUUUUAUGUCUAUUCCAUCUUUGUUAGUCUCAUACAUGAAAUCCAUACCACAUAUGCAUAAUUGAUGAAUCAUAAAUUAAACAUCACCAUAUCAAGCCUUUCUUUUCCUCCGAAGUGUUUUUUUUUUUUUUUUUUCUUCUUUUUGAAGACAGCUCUUUAUUCAUGACGAAGAAAAGCUGAACAAAUUUCUCUCAAAAUAGUUCAAAAACAAAAAAUGGCAUAAAAUAUAAAUUCAGAUCAAAUAUAAACUAAAUUAAAAGACAAAUUAGUAUACGAGGACCAUCUUGAAUCAACAUGAAAGCUCAAAAGUGGCCUUGAUAAAGUAAAACCAAAUUAAAUAAAAACAGACUUAGCAUGUUUUUUCUUCUCAAAAAGAAGUAUGCAAAAGAUGAGCCUUGUAAGCCAUCAGCAGUUCCUCCACAUCAUCUGGAAACCUUGACAUGAACUUCAAGAAUUCAUUCUCAGUAUAUUCCAUGAUGUAAAGAAAACUCCAAUACAUUUUCAACAACUCCUUCUACUUAAUAAUCUGCAAAACUCAAUAUUGAGGAAUCACACGAUCUCCCAAACUACUCAUCAAAAGCAUUGGCCUAGAAACAGACUUUUAUCAUGUGUUUUCUUCUUCUUCCGAAGAAGAAGUGUGCAAAAGAUGAGCUUUGUAAGCCAUCAACAGUUCUUCCACAUCAUCUGGAAACCUUGAUAUGAACUCCAAGAAUUUAUUCUCUGUAUAUUCCAAGAUGGAAUAAAAACUCCGAUCCGUUUUCAACAACUUCUUGGAGUUAAUAAUCUGAAAAACUCGGUAUCUAGGAAUCACACGAUCUUCCAAACUACUCAUCAAAAGAUUUGGCUUGUAAGCCAAAACAUUCCGAUCAAACUUUGCCACAUUAAGAAAGAACUCAAUUCCUAACUUCAUUUUCUCCUCAGAGACCCUAAAAAAAGCUGGGUUCUUCCUAAACAAAACCAGGCAAUGAUUGUCUGAAAAACCAAAAGUCUUAAGUAAUUCACAUUUCUUCUUAAAUGUUUGUUCACUCAAGCAACUCAAGGUAUGAAUACCGUGCACUAACAUCCUCGAAUCAGUCGAAAUCCCCAUAUCUACAACCCUCGUAACGAGAUCCCUUAAUGCCGAUUCUCGCAUCCUAAAAAUCCUAGGUUGUCUCAUUAACAACUUUGAGAGCUGAGAUCCAACAAUCCCACAGCUUUCAAAAUACUCAAUGUUUCUCGACAAGUUUGAUAUGCCAUCUCUAGCAAUAAAACCAUUGCAUCUAUUGAAGACCUUAAACAAGUCUUCAUUAUUAUUCCCUAAAAUUUUAUUGACAAAUUGGAUAAAAGGAAUCAACUUUUUAUGUAAACUACAAGUUAAAAGCGUAGAAUUCCUAGAAAAGAACUUACCCAGAUGGGGUUCCACAAGACCCAGAUCUUGAAAAAGCUUGAUUGUUGGCCUAAGCUUCUUUUCUACAUCAGCAAACAGAAUUUGGGGCGCCACAUGAACAGCAGAGGCUAUUUGGGCAUUAGAAAAGCCAAGACUUUGGAAAAAAUUGGCAACCGAAUGAGCCUUUUGGAGGGAUUUCCCAUGAGAGUAACGAUUAGAGAUUGAAACAGCUUGGGUUUCAGUGAAAUCCAAGUUUUUUACAAGGUAAUUGAAAAGGGGAGGAUUCGAAACAGAGGUGGAAGAAGAAUAUGAGAGAAUAAAAAUAAAUGAUUUGGGUUUUAACGAAAAAUUGAGAAAAUAGGAAGUUGAGAAAAUGGAAGAUGAUUUGAGGGUAUGCAUGGAAGUUUUUGAGGAAUUCCCCGCAGGGGGUUUUAGGGUUUAAAAUUCAAUUUUCAUCAUGCAGAAUUGCAGAUUCAAUUCCAAAUACGUUCUCGAUCAAGUAACGACGACGUUAAGAGUGGUAGGCCACAUAAGCAGCGACGCCGUUUCAGGAAAAACAAACAUUUUAAUGGUGGGCUUUUAUUUAUUGGUCUAAUUUAUCAUUUUGUUUUCUUAUAGAUGACGCAAUUUAUGAUAAUUUGUAUUUCUUUCCAUUGCAAUCCUUAUAAUUUAUCGCUAAAAUUGGUACAUGAAAUUUAUAAAUUAUUUUGAUUUUAAUCAUUAUUAACAUUAAUAAACUAUAAAUUAUAUAUAUAUGAGCAUACAUAGAUAAAUCCAAGAAUUUUCUUUUCUGCAUAGGGCCAAACUUGCUAUAUAAUAUUUUUCCUUAAAAUUUUUUAUAUAUUAAUAAUAAUAUCGCUUCGUUUAUAAAAUUGCAGCAAAAAUACUAAGUUGAAUUAAAUCAAGACAAUCUUUUAUCAAAGCCUUUUUUUUUCUAACUUUAUGAUUAGUCCAAAUGUAUUCUAAAAUUUAAAAUCUAAUAUUAUAUCAAUACAUCAUAUCAUAUGAUUGUAAAUUUAAAAAAAAAACUAUGAUACUUUGUUUUAAAUUGGAUAUCCAACAAAAGGUAAUUAAUCUAGAUCUUAAUUAUUCAAUCAUGUUAAUUAGAUAUGAUAAAUCCAUAAAGCUUGCGUUCAAACGAGAAAAGUUAAAGUACUAGAGAAGGCAACAAAUGUAUCCAGAAAAUAUACUCUUGUAGAGAUUACAUAGCCAUUUUCUCAUGGUUUGAGGGAGGACAAAUUCUGCUGAUUGUAACCGACAUGCUUGGCACCUUCAUGGGGUGGCCUGCUAGCAAAAACAAGGUCAUAUGUCUUGAGGAAUAGCUCGGGAGCUUCAGGGGAUGAGAAAACAAAUACAGGCAUCAGGCCAAAGCCUAAUGGAAUUAUGGGGCCAUGCUUGUGGGCUGACUGUUGAAGAUCUUGGUGAGAUUUGUUCCCCAUCAUGAAAAGGUUUCCAAAAAUAGGAAGCCCUCUCGGACCAGGAGGUAAUCUCUUAUUCUUCUAAUUCUCCCUUAAUUUCCCCUUUUCUUUCUAAUUUCUUCUAUCUAUAUCUGAUUUUACUUCUGACUUCUAUACUCUAUCUAUUUUACCACGUUCUCUAUCAAUGUUGUUCUAAUCUCUUGGUAAUUCAUUAAUGUAAUUUCGUCCACUCUUACAACAUGGGGAAUCUUUUGAGCAUCAGCUUUCAAUAGGCAAAAGGAAACUUCUUUGGCAACCAAAAUAAAGAACCUUCCUGCAUAAGCUUGAUAAGAAAUAUCAACAUUCCAAAUUGCAAGCAAUAUAACAUUGAAUAAAGCAAUUCAGAAUCAGAAGCAAGGCAGUUGAUUGCUUCUGAUGCAGUAAUGGGGCCACCUGAUACAACACACUUGCACAUUCAUCAUAAAUCGCAACCCAGUCUCUCCUUGCACCAUCUGACUUUGGGUCAACCUUUUGAAGAUAUUCUGCUAUUACCUGAGGCCCAACAAAAAGAGAGAUAGGAUCAGAAUUUUCAACCUUCCUUAGUGGUUGUCAUGUCCAAAACUGUACCUUUGAAGAUCAUCUCAUACACAAGAAGUGUCUUAGUACUAACCGGUAGUGAUAGCAUAAAUCAUGUUUGCCGAGCAAAUUUAAGAGUAAAGUGAAUGUAUCCAACGCCACAGAAGCUAAGAAACCAUAGGCAUGAUGACAUCAUGAUAAGAAGAUAACAUUAUUCAGCUACGCUCUGAACAAACGGAAAAGAUAAUUUCAAAAUAAAUAGUAAAACUCACCCUCAGGUUUUUAAGAUCAAUAUCAUAGAGAUCCUUUAAACCAGGCCUUUGUACUUUGAUAACAACUUCUUGGCCCUUCAAUUUUGCCCGAUGGACUUGGCCUGCAAAAGAAAAAUAAAUAAAUCAGUGAAUUCCAUUUAAUCAACUAACACACUAUUAUCAUAUGCAUGUUCUCACAUUCCUUUAUUGUUUAAACAUGUUGAAGGCCAUUUGUUUCUUCUGUUUUUGAACUGACUCUUCUAUAUAUUUCAAACUCAUUGAUAUUAAUAUUUAUAAUAUGGGCAUGGCUAAAUUUAAGAAAAAAAAUAAAAGCAAAGAAAGCAAAAUGACCAAGUUAGUUUACCUUGUACCACAUGGAAAGAAUAUAUUAAUUUUUACAACAUAUAAUGUAACAGAAUAAAAGUUUGUGAUGACAAGAAAGUUAACUCCAAUUUGUUUAUGGUUAAAGAGAGUGGUUUUGUGAAAAUUUACCUUAAAUAGGCACUUAAUAUGCUAUGCGUGUGUGUAAAAUAAAAAGUGGAUGAUUAAUACAAAAAUAAAAGAAAUAAACUAAGAGACAAACAUGUCCUUUUCCAAAUAUGAAGAACAGUUAUAUGGAUCAAUAUUGUGUUAUUGACAGCAAUUUAAGACACAUCCUUAGCAAACUUAGGUCACUUUUUAUAAGUUCAAAUGACGCCAAUAUUAGGGGAAAAUAAGUUAAAGUAAAGCUUUUAAUAUCGGUAAAUGGUAAUACCAAUCAAUGUUUCUCUCAUUUCUUUUAAUGCUUUCUUUUGAUCAUGUGUUAAACGUAACAUGUUCAUACAAGUGUAUGAAGUUAUUUUUCUUCAUGUAUCUAAUUACAUAGGCAUUAGAUGCCACUUUAAUGUGUCUUUAAACCAACAGAGUAGUAACAGUUCUUGGCAUAUUAUCACAUGACAGCAUUAGAUCAUUAAUUUUUAGGCAUAGCUAGACUUGAACUAAUCUUGAAGCAUUCCCUAUUUCAAAGUUAUUUUUAGUUAUUUUUAGUCAAACUAUUAACAAGUCCAAUAAAUUGGAAAGAGUUGGGAAAUUAUUUUUAAGGACAUAAGUGAAGUGAAAGAAAACAGAAAAAAAAAAAAGAGGAAAAAGAAUUUGUUAUGAAUAAUUGAAUAUACCACUUAGCACCAGAUAAAACAAAAUUCUGUAAAGCCUUCACGAAAAAAUUGAAAUAUAUGCAUAUGCAUUGUGUGUGUGUGUGUGUGUUGCAUGUCUAUACAAUUUGAGAUUUGACAAUGGUCACACUAACGACAUCAUAAUCCACCUUUUACCACUUUACCUUAUGCAAUGGCAAAAAACUUCCACAUCAAAGAAUCAUAGAUAACAUUAAGAUUAGCAAGACUAGCAGCAGCAAUGGGUUCAAAGUCAAACCAGUCGAAGAUACCAUCUACAGGGCCUCCAAGCUCUUCAUCAACAAUAGAUACUGCAGUCUCUGAUGGAAAAGGUGGAACUUGAUCCUGCACAUGAAUAGUAGUUAGAUUCUUACCUAUAGAAUUUUAAAUUUAGAAACCAUCUGGCCAGCAAAACUCUCUCUUUUUGGGAAAGGAGGUGGGGGCUAGAAGUAAUAGAAAAUUAUGAAAUGAUUUUGUACAGAACCGCUCUAUUUUAGAUUUCUUUUAAUGCCCUUCAUCUUACCUACCUUGAAUAAAUUCUUCUCCAAGUAGAAGCUAACAUCAACAAUAAAGGAAUUUCACCCAAAAAGUAUAAAAUUUUAAAGUAAAGGAACUUCAACCUGUAGCGCUGACAACUGAUCAACAUAUUCUUGAGCAAGAAUGUCAACCCUUGUGGAGAACAGUUGGCCAACUUUGAUGAAAGUAGGACCCAAUCUCAAGAUACUUUCCUUUAACCACUUUGCCAGGGUCUUCCGCCUUAGAACUUUCUUUUCCUCAGUCAUUCCUCCUGUAUGAAUGCAACCUUAAAACUGGAUAUAUAACACCAACAACUAGAAACCAUAACAACAUUAUAAGAACUAAAGAAAAGGCAAUUAGAAACAACACACUAUAACUAAAAUGACUGUCCAAAAGCAAAUUUAAAAACUAGUCCUGCUUCUUUGCAGUGCAUGAAAACUAAAUCAGUUGAACAAGGCAUAGAUUAGACCAUUUUGCUUUAACAGUAAAAAACAAAAGGCAAGUCAUAUAGCCCUUAAAUCUCUUUCAGAAGAAAACCUUUCUUUAGCAAAACUUUAUACACAAAGUAAUUUCCAUACAUGAUAAAUCAUAAUUGACAUAUCCAUCAUCUUAAACACUUCUAGCUCAUCAAUUUGAACAACUUUUGCAUAUUCAAAAUUUUUUCUAUUAGAUAUAGAUUGUAAUAGUUGGCUUGGCCCACUACUUAAUUUGGUUUGUGUUCCCUAAAAAGCAUUGCCAGGUUUUGCCAGCUAUCACAAUUUAAACAUCAAAGGAUUUAUCUCAAGGACAUAGGCCCAACCUUAAGCCACCCCUUAAACUUCCAUAUUCCAUCAACCAUCUAAAAAGACAAAAGGCAAAAUAACAAAGGAUCUCAAGAAAAGUUAAUACCCUGAUAAUGUUACUGAAUACUGGAUCAUGUCAAUAAUUCAAAACCAAUUCCUUCCGCAAAUUAGCAAUUCUAUUUAUAUAUGCAACACAGGAAUAUUAAUUUUAUUCAAUAAAAGGUAAAACAAUGAAUUUGUCAUGAUGCAUUCUUUCACAAAUUCCAUAAAAUAUAGCUCAGGAGCUUCAGGGGAUGAGAUAACAAUUACAGGCAUCAGGCCAAAGCGUAAGGGAAUUAUGAGGCCAUACUUCCGGGCCAACUGUUGAAGAUCUCGGUGAGGUUUGUUCCCCAUCAUGAAAAGGUUUCCAAAAAUAGGAAGCCCGGACCAGGAGGUAAUCUCUUAUUCUUCUAAUUCUCCCUUAAUUUCCCCUUUUCUUUCUAAUUUCUUCUAUCUAUAUCUGAUUUUACUUCUGACUUCUAUACUCUAACUAUUUUACCACCUUCUCCAUCAAUAUUCUUUUCAUCUCUUGGUAAUUCAUUAAUGUAAUUUCAUUCAGUCUUACAACAUGGGGAAUCUUUUGAGCAUCAGCUUUCAAUAAAGAACCUUCCUGCAUAAGCUUGAUAAGAAAUAUCAGCAAUCCAAAUUGAAAUUAAUAUUUAUAAUAUGGGUACGGCUAAAUUUAAGAAAAAAAAUGCAAAGAAAGCAAAAUGACCAAGUUAGUCUACCUUGUACCACAUGGAAAGAAUAUAUUAAUUUUUACAACAUAUAAUGCAACAAAAUAAAAUUUGUGAUGACAAGAAAGUUAACUCCAAUUUGUUUAUAGUUAAAGAGAGUGGCUUUGUGAAAAUUUACCUUAGAUAGAGACUUAAUAUGUUAAGCGCACGUGUAAAAUAAAAAGUGGAUGAUUAAUACAAAAAUAAAAUAAAUAAACUAACAGACAAACAUGUCCUUUUCCAAAUAUGAAAGAACAGUUAUACGGAUCAACAUUGUGUUAUUGACAGCAAUUUAAGACACAUCCUUAGUAAACUUAGGUCACUUUUUAUAAGUUCAAAUGACCCUAAUAUUAGGGGAAAAUAAGUUAAAGUUAAGCUUUUAAUAUUGGUAAAUGGUAAUACCAAUCAAUGUUUCUCUCAUUUCAUUUAAUGCUUUCUUUUAAUCAUGUGUUAAACAUAACAUGCUCAUAAAAGUGUAUGAAGUUACUUUUCUUCAUGUAUCUAAUUACAUAGGCAUUCUUUAUUGUGUUUUUAAAGCAAUAGAGUAUCACAUGACAGCAUUAGUUCAUUAACUUUUAGGCAUAGCUAGACUUGAACUAAUCUUGGAGCAUUUCCUAUUUCCAAGUUAUUUUAGUCAAACUAUUAACAAGUUCAAUAAAUUGGAAAGAGUUGGGAAAUUAUUUUUAAGGAAAUAAUUGAAACGAAAGAAAACAGAAAAAAAAAAAAAAGGAGGAACAAGAAUUUGUUAUCAAUAAUUGAAUAUACCACUUAGCACCAGAUAGAAAAAAACUCCGUAAAGCCUUCAUGCAAAAAUUGGAAAUAUAUGCACGUGUUGUGUUUGUGUGUGUGUGUUAUGUGUAUACAAUUUUGUGAUUUGACAAUGGUCACACUAACCACAUCAUAGUCCACCUUUUACCACUUUACCUUAUGCAAUGGCAAAAAACUUCCACAUCAAAGAAUCAUAGAGAACAUUAAGGUUACCAAGACUAGCACCAGCAAUGAGUUCAAAGUCAAACCGGUCAAAGAUACCAUCUACGGGGCCUCCAAGCUCUUCUUCAACAAUAGAUACUCCAGUCUCUGAUGGAAAAGGUGGAACUUGAUCCUGCACAUGAAUAGCAAUUAAAUUCUUACCCAUAGAAUUUUAAAUUUAGAAACCAUCUGGCCAGCAAAACUCUUUCUCUUUUUGGGGAGGGAAGUGGAGGCUAUAAGUAAUAAAAAAUUAUGAAAUGAUUUUGUACAGAACUACUCUAUUUUAGAUUUCUUUUAAUGCCCUUCAUCUGACCUAUCUUGAAUAAAUUCUUCUCCAAGUAGAAGUUAACAUGCACAAUAAAAUAAUUUCAAAGUAAAGGAACUUCAACCUGUAGCUCUGACAACUGAUCAACAUAUUCUUGAGCAAGAAUGUCAACCCUGGCGGAGAACUGUUGGCCAACUUUGAUGAAAGUAGGACCCAAUCUCAAGAUACGUUCCUUUAACCACUUUGCCAGGGUCUUCCGCCUUAGAACUUUCUUUUCCUCAGUCAUUCCUCCUGCUUGUAUGCAACCUUAAAACUGGAUAUAUAACACCAACAACUAGAAACCAUAACAACAUUAUAAGAACUAAAGAAAAGGCAAUUAGAAACAACACACUAUAACUAAAAUGACUGUCCAAAAGCAAAUUUAAAAACUAGUCCUGCCUCUUUGCAAAGCAUGAAAACUAGAUCAGUUGAACAAAGCAUAGAUUAGACCAUUUUGCUUUAACAGUAAAAAAACAAUAGGCAAGCCAUAUAGCCCUUAAUCUCUUUCAGAAGAAAACCUUUCUUUAGCAAAACUUUAUACACAAAGUAAUUUCCAUACAUGAUAAAUCAUAUUUGACUUAUCCAUCAUCUUAAACACUUCUAGCUCAUCAAUUUGAACAACUUUUGCAUAUUCAAAAUUUUCUUAUUAGAUAUAGAUUGUAAUAGUCGGGCUAUAGGUUAUUGGUUACAUUCAGGGAAUUUAAAUAGUUUUCGGUCGUAGCAUUUGUCGCGUUUUCGGAUAUAACGGAGAUAAUUGCGGUCACUGCGGUCAUCACGGUCGUGAAAUUUUUUUUUUUUGCACAAUUUAUUAUAAAAUGUAAUAAUUAUAAUUAUAAUUAUAAAAACUCUUAUUCAAUGAUUUUAAAAAUAGUUUAUGACACUCUAUGUUUUUUAUUUUCUAAAAAAAUUAUUCACAAUUUUAUUUAGAUUAUAAAAAGCAUUCAUAUUUGGUUUAUCCAUAAAAUUUUUCUUGGCCAAGUUCAUAUUCAAUAUUAAUUCUAGACAAAUCAAAUAUUAACAAAACAUAAUAUGUUAAAUACCAAGCAUUUAAUUUAAUAAAAUUACAAACUUAAAAAUAUAAUAAAUUCAAAUUCCAUCAACUACAAUUAUUGAUACAUAUUUCAAAUUUACCACAUGGUAGAAUGACGAGGAGGAUCAGAUUCUCUAUCUUCACUUUGAGAGCCAAGUUGACUCCAUCUCCAUCCCUGAGACCUUUGUUCUUGAUACAUUUGAGGUGGAGGAUAUAUUUGAGGAUGAUACAUUUGUGGUGGAGGGUACAUUUGUGGUAACUGAUACAUUUGAGGUGGAGGAUAUAUUUGAGGAGGUGGAGGAUACAUUUGAUGUGGAUUAAUAACCAUAUGGAGGUGGAUAACCAUGAGGAGGUUGAAAAUUAUGUUGUUCUAGUGGAUAAUAAUGUCUUGAGUACUAGCAGAUGAUUCACUAUACUCAAAGUUACUAGAAUUUGGUCUUUCACCUGAAGAUGAAAAACCUCUAAAAAUUUCAUAGUGGUGCUUCUUUGCUUUUCCUUUUGAUCGAGCUGUACGUGCACUUUGACCCUCACUAGAUUCAGCAAAUGGAUUUCCUCCGUAUUCUGCCAUAUUAAUAAAAAGUCCACCAGUAACAGCAAGCCCAAAUUCUCCUCCAAGUGGGCUGUAAGGUCGAUUUGCAUCCAUAUUAUCACCAAAAUUUGCACCAUCACCAUCAUCAUCUGGACUUAAACCACCACCAUCAUCACUCUGACUUGGUAUUGGACUUGAACUUGAAUGAGACACAUUCCUUUCUUGAGAUUGACGUGAUCGUUCAACAUUCAUUUCAUUAUUAGAAUUAUCUGCAGGCAACCAAUCAGAGUUUUGACCAUCUAAUAGAGGAUUUUCUUUCUCUUGCAGCCAUUCUGUUAGUAGAUCAUCAUCUUCAAAAAUAUGGUCAAGGCUAAUAGGAUUAAACUAUUAUUUAUUUCAUCAAUGCUCAUUCUUUUUGAUGUCUCAUCCUCAACCUCAUGUUAUAAUAGGUAUAUAUAAGUUUCUGGAGUCUUGCAAACUUUAAUCUGUUUCUUGCUUUGGUGUGAAUAUAGCUAAAUGUGCUCCAAUUACAUUCACAAUUUGAUGCAAUGUUGUUGCCUAAGCACUUUGAUUGCUAGUUUUUGCAAUUCAGGAACACAAGUGCCAUAUAUCAUCCACCACUCAGCUGUAUAAAUUAUUUAAAUUAAAUUCAAUGGGCUAUACAAUUAAAUAAUAUAAAUAAAUUAUAAUUAUUUAACUUACUAUUUACCUGGAUUCAUUUGCUUCCAAGCUCUUUGUGCUUGUGGACUACCAAAUGUUUCAUGCUUGUCUCGAAAUAAUAACAACUACAUCGAUUGAAAAUACAAUAAUAAAUGAAUAAAUAAAAACAAUUUAAUUUUUAAUACAUAAAACAAAUGUUAAAGUUAUAAAAUGGUAUUAAAUACUAACCUGAUUAAUCAUUCUAAUUUGAGAUCUAUCGAAGGUUCUAAUAUUUCAAUAACUGCUUUUAUAACCUUCUAAUGUUUUCUUAAAUACAUUUACAGAAUGUUCCACUCCAAAUUGAAAUUGUGGAUUUAAAUAGUAACCUAAACAUAAUUUAUAACAAUAUUAUAUUAAAGUAAUAAAAAAUAAAUAUAUAAGCAAUUUAAGUAUAAAAAAUAAACAUAUUUUUUAAAUACCAUCUAUAUUCUUGUUUACUUACCAGCUGAAUGCAAGUCAGAGUGCAUGAAACUCCAUCUAUUGUCAAUAAUCUUUUCAUAUUCAGCAGAAUAACGACAAGUUUGUUGAAUUUCUUGUUUAGCUCUAUCCACAGCCCUCGUAAAUAAAGCCCAUUGUUGGUUUUUCAUCACCAUCCACAAGGCGCAACACUUUACCAAAGGCUCAUAAACUUUUAUUAUAUCACCUAUUUUUUCCAAAAAUCUUUUCCAAAUGAUUUUUUGACUUCAUAAAGCAGGUCCUGAUUUUGUUGUCCCCAUUUUGAAUCUUUAAAUUCCUAUAUAUUCAUCAAUAAAUUUUAGAGUAAUAUAUUUUAAUUAAUAUUUAAAACAAUAAUAUUAUAAAAGAUGUAGAUUAAAUAAUUGUACUAAUUACUAAGUAUUAAACCUUUGAAUUGGAAACAUCUCUCUCAAACUUUGCUUUUGCCUCAUUAUUUCUUCUAAUUGUAUGAAAUGAGUGGCAAAUCGGGUAAGAGCAGGACGAAGUAUUUGCUUCCCUUGUGUAUAUUUCUUCAUCAAAUAACAGUCCAAAUGUGAUUGUAUAUAAAACAAGUCACUUUCUUUGGCAUCAUCCAAAGCCUUUGUCACAUUUUUUUCCUCCCAAUAUCUUCAAGGCACAAGUCCAAACAAUGAGCUGAACAUGCUGUCCAAUACAAAUGUUUUCUCUUCUCCAUUAGUCUUUUUCCUGCGGCCUUAAGUGCUGCCUCGUUAUCAGUGACUAUUUGAACAAUGUAUUUUUCUCCAAUUUCUUCCACAACUUCAUCUAAUAAUCUGUAGUAAAAGUUUGUAUCUCUACUACGAACACUUGAGACAUCUACAGAUUUCUAAAAAAUAGUCCCUUUACUACAGUAAACAAGAAAAUUAAUGAUAUGCAUUUGAUUCAAACUAUUGGUCCAACCAUCACACAUCAAAGUGACACCCAAUUCAUUCCAAUAAGCUUUUAAUCCAUUAACCCAUUCAUGAACUUGUUGAUACUCAGACUCUAAAUACACAUCUGAGACCUCAUAAGGUGUUGGAAGUCUUACAUGUUGGCCAACUUCUGCUGCCACAGAAAUCAAAUUAUGCAACCAUGGGGAAUUUGCUAAUUGAAAAGGAAGUCGAUCAUAUAUCAAAAAUUUUGAUACUGAUUCACCCAUUUUUCUUCUUAAUGUCUUUAUAAAUGAAUCACUUACUUUGGUUGUCUUGAACUUUUACUUCUAACCAAUUCAGGAACAGCUCCCCUUAAUGAAAAUUUAGACUCAUUUGGAGUUCUUGUUCUUUCUUCAAAAUAUUCAGCAACUGAACCAUGAGAGCUUCGUCCUUCUUCAUAUAUGUUACUCCAACCACUAGUUCUUUGUUUGAAUUCUUGUCUUCUAUGCCACUCAUGUUCUGAUUGGAUACUAUCUCGCACGGCUUGUCUAGUAGCAAUGUCUUCAUCAAUAAAUCCUUCAUAAUCAUCUUCCCCUCUUAACUGUGAUAAAAAUUCAUUUUUUCUUCUUUUGUUGUCAGCCUUUUUUGAUUUGCUUUCUUGAAGGAGUUUCAUCAUACUUUCUCUACUAUACUAUUAAUAUAUAGUUUAAAAAAAAGAGAAAAUUAGUUGCACAUGCUUAUGUAAUUUUAUAAUUUUUAUUAAGAAAUUAACAAUAAUAUUUUCAAAGAAAUUAAAAAAAACAUAACAUACCAGUAACGUUGGGGCAUGGUGCAACAUUGCCAGUUUUAUGAGCAAUGUGUUCUUUGAAACGUGUUAUUCCUCCUUUUACAACUUUACCACAAAGUUUACAUGAAACAUUUCCUCUUGUAUUUGGCACAGGUGUUCCAAAAUGCCAACCUAUAUCAUCACUUGGCGUGCCCUCUACUCCUUUACUCGGGAACUCUUCACGUGGUGGCAUACUUACUAUUUUGUAUAAAAACAAAAUAAACUUAUAUUUAGAAAUAUUAAUAUUACUUAUUACAUCAUUAAAAAUUGAUUUUACGCUAAAUUUUUUAAUUUUUAGUUUUUAAUCUUAAGAAUAUUAUUAAAUAACUUAAUCUUUUAGAUGCACUAAUUGAUAUUAAUUUUUUUAUCACAAAUAACUUCAAAUAAUUAUAUAAUAAAUACAAUCUUCAAUAAUUACACAAAAAUAAUAAGAAUUAAUCUAAUAUCAAAAGAAUUGACAACAAUAUAAAUAUCAAACAACAAAAAAAUUAUUAAAUUUCAUAUACAUAAUUAUAAAUUAAUAUCUAAACAAUCAAAAUAUAAUAUUUAAUUUUAAUUAAUUUUUUCUAACUUAUAUAAAAAAUUUAUCAAUAAUUUCAUCUACAAUCUCUAUGUAUAUCAUAUUAAAUUAUUAAUCUUUUAUUUUUUUAAUUAUAAAUCUUCAAUCCCUCUAAUUAGAUUUUAUCUUAAAAAAAUUUCAAAAAUUAAAAGUUUUCAAACUUAUAUUUUAAUAAAAUUUUCAAACCUAUAUUUUUUAUUUUUUAGUUUUUAAUCUUAAUAAGAGUAAUAGAUCAUAAAAUGCUAAAUUUGUUAAGUAACUUAAUUUUUUUGAUACAAUAAUUGAUAUAAAAUUUUUUUUAUCACAAACAACUUUUAAUAAUUAUAUAAUAAACACAAUCUUCAAUAAUUACACAAAAAUAACAAGAAUUAAUAUAAUAUCAAAAGAAUUGACAAUAAUAUAAAUAUCAAAACAACAAAAAAAUUAAAAUUCAUAUACAAAAUUAUAAAUUAAUAUAUAACACAAUCAAAAUAUAAUAUUUAAUUUUAAUUAUUUUUCAUCUAACUUAUACAAAAAAUUUAUCAAAAUUUUCAUUUAAAAUAUCUAUAUAUUAUAUUAAUUAUAAAUUUUCAAAACCACUAAUUAAAUUUUAUCUAAAAAAUUUUCAAAAAUUAAUUAUAAAAUUAAAUAAAAAAAUUCAAUCCCACCCUCCAACACCCUACCACACCCAAUCCCUCCCACCCCCAUCAAUCCCUCUCCACCUUCCCCCCAACAUCCCACCACCCAAUCCCUCCCCACUUCCUCCCAACCCCACCACACCCAAUCCCUCCCCACCUUCCCCCCAACCCCACCACACCCAAUCUCCCCACCUUCCCCCCAACCCACCACACCCAAUCCUCCCCACCCCAUCCAAUCUCUCCACGUGCCUAAUAUAUCAAAUUGUUUAAUUCUUUCUAACAACCCGAGCCGAGACCCUUCUAGAAACAUUCAUUCUUCUGUUCAUCUUCUUCUUCGUCUUACAUUUACUUUCUCUGGCUUUCCAAAAAAAUUUUCUUUUUUUUUUCAUCUCUCAUUUUCUCUCACAUCCUUUAUCACUAUCACUUGCUGACUUACCUAGUAUCUACAGAUAUCUCAUUCAUCUUUCAAACUCUCACAAGACACAACAGAUCGAUCAUUUUACAGAAAUUUUACAAAAAAAAAGGUAAUUUAACUUUCUUUUCUUACCUUGUUUGAUCUUGAAUGUUGAUUGAAAACUUGAGGUUGAUUUGAAUUUGAAUCGAAAAUGCCGUUUGAAUGGUUGAAACUUGAAACUCUGUUUUCUAGCUCGUUUUAAAAUUUCUUUUUGAUGAUAAAGAUCUGAGAUUGUUGUGAGCUUUAUUUUUUGAUUUGGCUUUUACUUUUACUUUUGCAGGUUUGUUGUUUUAUUUUGCAGGCGUAAAAAUUUUUUUGUUUUUUUUGUUAGAACUAUUAGAUCCGUGAGUAGAAAAACGGAAUAGCGACAAUAACGGUCCGUUAUUGCCGUUAUUGCCCGUUACGCCGUUAUUUUGCAACCGUUACUCUCGUUUUUGCUGUGAAUGAAUUUCUCAACCAUUUUCUAUCUAUUAACGAUGGCGGAAGGCAGCGUUACCGCAAUUUUGCUGCCACUAUUCCGCUAUCAACCCGUUUUUUGAAUCUCUGGUUACAUUUAUGGCAAAUAUUACUGUUUCAGAAGAUUGGAGAUGGUGAGACAUGGCCAUUGUUUCCUACAGACGACAUCAAUUAUUGAUGGUGUUUUUGAGAUCUCUUAGUUGGAAGGAGACGUUGAGAGGUUGAAGGUGGAAUGGCCUAAACCUGCAACUAGAAAAUACGGUCAUGGAGCAUCGAAGUUGGUUUUCCAAGAUGUGUUCUUAUGCUUAAGUCAGUGAGGUAAUAAAGGUAAAGUGAGGUAUGCCUAGGAAGUUACAAUAGAAAAAAACUAUUUUAAAUGUGAAGUGAGGUGUGUGUAUGGUCUUGUUUCUUAUCUCAUGUACCUAAACUUUAUUUGUACUUAUAUAUAAGAUAAGAGAUAAUAAUUUGAUUAAAAUAAUUGAUAAUUGAUAAAAAAUAUAUAUAAAAUAAAAAAUUUUACAUAAAUAAUUAUUUGUUAUAUUUAAUGAUUUUAAAUAAGUAAAAAUUAUAUUUAUUAAUUUCAAACAAAUUAAAAAUCAAGUGUUCAAUUUAAAGUGAUGAUUGAUAAAAUAUCAUUGAAUGUUGGGCAAGCCUUUUUUUUUAGUGGGGUGCAACCUAGUCCUUGAGUAAUGAUGAUGUGGUAACUUGGCGUGUACUGUUUAGGUGCUCUAAGGAGUUAAAUAUGUUGACCAAGAGUUUAUGGGUGUAACAAACUUUAAUUUUUCUACAACUGAAGUAAAAGAAAAAAAAGAAAAGUAAACAUUAUGCUUCAUCUAUGAUACCUUGGUAUGAAAUGUAGUGGCAGCAUGGCAUCUGGCACUUUUAGCUUUGGUCUAUCAUCAAUGGCUACCAAGAGAAGCUUUGUUUAUAGCCAAUCCUAUAUAGGUGUUACUUAAGUUACCAAGUUUGUGCAAUCCAUGCGACGGAGACUAACAUGAUUGAUUAGUUCAAUUUAUUGCUAUUACUUUUUACCAUAAUUUAUAAAUUCAUAAAUUUAUUACUAUACAUAUAAAAAAAAUUAUUAUCAAUUUUUUUAUUUAGGUGUGAAUAAUUAUUUAAUAAAUUUAUUUUUUUUAAAAUAUCUUAAACUUGAUUAAGAGUCUUUUUAAAAAAUAAAUUUUAGACGUAUUUAUAACUGAAUUCGAGAGUAUAGUUACCUAAGGAAACAAUUAUAGCACUAUUACAAUGUCUAUACUAGGAUGAUACAAAGUAAUUCCAAAUUAUCCUAAAGUCUUGGCUAGAUAGUCUUUUUAUUUAUGGCUUUUACUUAAUUCAAACAUUUAUAUAUUGAAAGAAUUUUAGGUUUUCCUCAUCAUUUUGUAGAAUUCUUAAAAGUUUUUCACACAUCAAGAAUAUUCAAAGAACCCAUCGUUCACUUGAAAAAGUUUUUAUCGUUGAAUUUAUUUUUCUAUUUAAUCAUUUGUUUAAGUUUUUAUUCUAAUUUUUAUUUUGAUUUCUUUAUUUUAAGAAAUGUAUCUAACUUUUCUAUCAUUCAAGAAAUAUUUAGGAAUAUCUUUUCACCUAAAAUAUUUAAGAAAAUCAACAAUUCUUGAUUUAUUAAAAUUUCAUCAUUGGAUUUAUCUUAUUAUUUUUUUAUUUCUAGGAUUUAUUUUUGUUAUUUCUAAAAUUUUCUAAUUUUUAUUAUUAUUUCAAAGGAAAUAUCAAUAUUGUUAUUGAAAAUUUUAUCUAAAUUCUUCACAAUUUUAAAGAAUUUAAAUAGAAAUUUGUCAUUUAAAAAUUUCUAAAAAUUCAACUAUUAUUGAUUUAUAGAAUUUCAUCAGUCAGUAAUUUUCAUUUAUUCUUAAGAAUUACCUUUUUUUUUUUAUUGCUGUAAAUUAUUUUUAUAUUUGAAAUUUUCAUAUAAAAUUUUCACCUUUUUGGAAAUAUUUAGGAUAACACUUCUCAACUAGAAAUUUCUAAGAAAAUCACCAUUUGAAAUUUUAGAAUUUCAUUACUAGAUUUAUGAAAGAUUUUAAUUCUAAAAUAUAUUCUAUUAUUUCCAAAAAUUUCUCAAUUUAGUUAUUCCUUUCUCAUUAUUGCUUGAAAAUAAAUAUUAAUAUUGAUAUUGCUAUCGAAAUUUUUUACUUAAAAAUUUCACCAUUUUGGAAAAUUUAAGGAAAAACAUUUCACUUAGAAAUUUCUAAAAAACAACCAUUCUUGAUAUUUAGACUUUCAACAUUGAAAUAUUUUCACUACAAAAAAUCUGACAUAUAGUGAUGCUAAAAAAAGCAUUAAUAAACCUCAAAAUCCAUCAGUGUAGCACCAUAAUCCUUAUAUCGAUGGUCAAAAUGUGUAUUCUGAUAAAUUUUUAACCGUCAGUAUAUCCUUGUCGGUAUAGACUUAUACUGACGAUUUUUAAGGGGUCAAAAUAACUCACAGAGAUAUGAAUACGAUUAUCGUUAGUAAAUAAAUAUAUAUUGGUAUAGUAUUAGUUGUGUGUACCAUCGUUAUACUUUUUACUAAUGGUUAAUACCUGUCAGUAUAAACUUAUAUGUUUUAAUUUUUCUUAUCUAUACUGACAGUUAAUACCUGCCAGUAUAAACUUGUAAUUCUUUUUACCUAUAUUGAUGCUUAAAGCCCGUCAGUAUAGAUUUGUAUGUUUUAAUUUUCUCACUUAUAUUGAUUGCUAGCGCCCGUUAGUACAGAUUUAUAUGUUUUAAUUUUUCUUACCUAUACUGAUGGUUAAUACUCGUUAGUAUAGACUUGUAAUUUUUUUUACCAAUACCGACGCUUAGCAUCCAUCGGUAUAGACUUAUAUUUUUUUAAUUUUCUUACCUAUAUCGANNNNNNNNNNNNNNNNNNNNNNNNNNNNNNNNNNNNNNNNNNNNNNNNNNNNNNNNNNNNNNNNNNNNNNNNNNNNNNNNNNNNNNNNNNNNNNNNNNNNNNNNNNNNNNNNNNNNNNNNNNNNNNNNNNNNNNNNNNNNNNNNNNNNNNNNNNNNNNNNNNNNNNNNNNNNNNNNNNNNNNNNNNNNNNNNNNNNNNNNNNNNNNNNNNNNNNNNNNNNNNNNNNNNNNNNNNNNNNNNNNNNNNNNNNNNNNNNNNNNNNNNNNNNNNNNNNNNNNNNNNNNNNNNNNNNNNNNNNNNNNNNNNNNNNNNNNNNNNNNNNNNNNNNNNNNNNNNNNNNNNNNNNNNNNNNNNNNNNNNNNNNNNNNNNNNNNNNNNNNNNNNNNNNNNNNNNNNNNNNNNNNNNNNNNNNNNNNNNNNNNNNNNNNNNNNNNNNNNNNNNNNNNNNNNNNNNNNNNNNNNNNNNNNNNNNNNNNNNNNNNNNNNNNNNNNNNNNNNNNNNNNNNNNNNNNNNNNNNNNNNNNNNNNNNNNNNNNNNNNNNNNNNNNNNNNNNNNNNNNNNNNNNNNNNNNNNNNNNNNNNNNNNNNNNNNNNNNNNNNNNNNNNNNNNNNNNNNNNNNNNNNNNNNNNNNNNNNNNNNNNNNNNNNNNNNNNNNNNNNNNNNNNNNNNNNNNNNNNNNNNNNNNNNNNNNNNNNNNNNNNNNNNNNNNNNNNNNNNNNNNNNNNNNNNNNNNNNNNNNNNNNNNNNNNNNNNNNNNNNNNNNNNNNNNNNNNNNNNNNNNNNNNNNNNNNNNNNNNNNNNNNNNNNNNNNNNNNNNNNNNNNNNNNNNNNNNNNNNNNNNNNNNNNNNNNNNNNNNNNNNNNNNNNNNNNNNNNNNNNNNNNNNNNNNNNNNNNNNNNNNNNNNNNNNNNNNNNNNNNNNNNNNNNNNNNNNNNNNNNNNNNNNNNNNNNNNNNNNNNNNNNNNNNNNNNNNNNNNNNNNNNNNNNNNNNNNNNNNNNUUGAAAAGAAGAGGUUCGAAACAGAGGUGGAAGAAGAAUAUGAGAGAAUAAAAAAAAAUGAUUUGGGUUUUAACGAAAAAUUGAGAAAAUAGGAAGUUGAGAAAAUGGAACAUGAUUUGAGGGUUUGCAUUGAGGUCUUUGAGGAAUUCUCUGCAGGGGUUUUAGGGUUUAAAACUCAAUUUUCAUCAUGCAGAACUGCAGAUUCAAUUCCAAAUACAUUCUCGACCAAGUACGACGACGUUUAGAGCAGAUAGCCAUAUAAGCAGCGAUGCCGUUUCUGGAACAACAAACUUCUUAAGGGUGGACUUUUUAUUUAUUGGUCUAUUUUAUGUUUUUAUUUUCUUAUAGAUGAUGCAAUUUAUGAUAAUUUGUAUUUCUUUCCAUUUUAAUCCUUAUAAUUUACCGCUAAAAUUGGUAUAUGAAAUUUAUAAAUUAUUUAGAUUUUAACCAUUGUUAACAUUAAUAAACUAUAAAUAAAAAACAUGAGCAUACAAAGAUAAAUUCAAGAUUUUUUUCCCCAUAGGCCCAAACUUACUGUAUAGUAUUUUUCCUUAAAAUUUUAUAUAUGGUAAUGCCAAUAUUGCUUCGUUUAUAAAAUUGCAGCAAAAAUAAUAUGUUGAGUUAAAUCAAAAUAAUGUUCUAUUAAAGCCUUUUCUUUUCUAACUUUAUGAUUAGUUCAAAUGAAUACUGAAAUUAAAAAUAUAAUAUUAUAUCUAUACAUCAUAUGAUUGUAAAAUUAAAAAAAUACUAGGAUACUUUGUUUUAGAUUGGAUAUCCAACAAAAGGUAAUUAAUCUGGAUCUUAUUUGUUUAAUCAUGUUAAUUAGAUAUGAUAAAUCCAUAAAGCUUGCGUUCUAACGAGAAAAACUGAAGUACUAGAGAAGGCAACAAAUAUAUCCAGAAAAUAUACUCUUCUAGAAAUUACACAGCCAUUCUCAUGUUUUGAGGCGCCUGGUUGGUAUAGCCAGUAGAUGCUCGGCCCUAGGACAUACUAGACCUAAAUCCUCAGCCAUGUCCAAGUCCGUAGCCAACAUAUCAUCCGGGAGUUCCCAAUCAUAGCAAUGCACCAAUUGUGCCACCACAAGCCGAACAGUAAACCCAGUUGCAUUCCAGGGCAGCCUCUGCGCCCAGAACCAAAUGGGAUUAGCUGGAAGUUGGGUCCACGAAGAUCAAUGCCGCUUCCAACAAAUCUCUCUGGAUAAAACUUCUCUGCAUCAGUCCAAACCUUUUGGUCCCGACCUAUAGCCCCUGCGUUUAUGAAGAUCGUGAAUUAUUGGGUAUCGGAUAGCCAAUCACUUUGCAGUCUUCCAUACAUAAAUGCGGGAGCAGCAAUGGUACCACUGGGUGAAACCUAAAGCUUUCUUUCACAACCAUGUCUGAGUACAUCAAUUUCUCCAAGUCUGACUCUUCGACCAUCCUCUCCAUGCCUACCACAUUUUCCAGUUCUUUUUGGACUUCCUUUGUCACCCGUAGAUGUCUAAUGAGUUCGGACAGUGUCCACUCAAUUGCAGCAGCUGAAGUAUCCAUUGAAGCUACAAGCAUGUCCUGCAGGAAUUGUCAUAAACAUUUUUUAGACCAAAAUUCACAAUGGAGUGAAUGGACAAGUAAGUGAGCACAAAAGAAGACUACCGAUAUUAUUGCUUUCAUAUUAUCCCGCUCCACAUGGUACUCAUCAGUUUCUUCUGAUCCAAUGAAUCCUAGCAUGACAUCAAUGAAGUCCACGAUUCUGUUUUCACCUUUGGAUUGAACAAGCUCACCAAUUAUCUUCUCAAAGAAGUCGUCAAAAACCUUGGCAAUAGUUUUCAGAUGCUUUGUUAGACCCUCAAGAUCAAGUCCUUUAAUUUGAGGAAUGUAAUCAGCUAAAUUAAAAGCAGCAAUUGUUUGCAUGCCCUCUCGAAUUAUAGCUUCGAAGCCUUUUUUUUGAAAUCAUCAUUAUUAUAUUUCUUUCCAAGCACCAUUCUACUAGAAAUAUCAGUACUAAGAGAUGAGAACUUAGCGCUAAGAUCAACAGCAACUCGAGCAGAAGCAGCCCCUUGAAUAUACUGAAUUAAAAGAAGAAGCUCUUCCUUUCUCAUGGAACUAAAAGAAUCGAUUUUGAGGCUCCUAAGCAACUCUAGAGUGCACAGCUUAUGCAUGUUGCGCCAAUAGGACCCGUAUGGGGAGGAGGACAAAUUCUGCUGAUUGUAACCAACAUGCUUAGCACCUUCAUGAGGUGGCCUGCUAGCAAAACAAGGUCAUACGUCUUGAGGAAUAGCUCGGGAGCUUCAGGGGAUGAGACAACAAUUACAGGCAUCAGGCCAAAGCGUAAGGGAAUUAUGGGGCCAUACUUGUGGGCUAACUGUUGAUGAUGUUCCCCAUCAUGGAAAGGUUUCCAAUAGGAAGCCCUCUCGGACCAGGAGGUAAUCCCUUAUUCUUCUAAUUCUCCCUUAAUUUCCCCUUUUCUUUCUAAUUUCUUCUAUCUAUAUCUGAUUUUACUUCUGACUUCUAUACUCUUAUCUGAUUAAACAUAACAUGUUCAUAAAAGUGUAUGAAGUUAUUUUUCUUCAUGUAUCUAAUUACAUAGGCAUUCUUUAAUGUGUUUUUAAAGCAAUAGAGUAUCACAUGACAGCAUUAGAUCAUUAACUUUUUAGGCAUAGCUAGACUUGAACUAAUCUUGGAGAAUCUCCUAUUUCCAAGUUAUUUUUGUCAAACUAUUAACAAGUCCAAUAAAUUGGAAAGAGUUGGAAAAUUAUUUUUAAGGAAAUAAGUGAAUCGAAAGAAAACAGAAAAAAAAAAGAGGAAAAGAAUUUGUUAUGAACAAUUGAAUAUACCACUUAGCACCAGAUAGAACAAAACUCUGCAAAGCCUUCAAGCAAAAAUUGGAAAUAUAUGCACCCGUGUUGUGUGUGUGUGUGUGUGUGUGUGUGUAUACAAUUUUGUGAUUUGACAAUGCCACACUAACCACAUCAUAAUCCACCUUUUAUCACUUUACCUUAAUGCAAUGGCAAAAAACUUUCCACAUCAAAGAAUCAUAGAGAACAUUAAGAUACCAAGACUCGCAGCAGCAAUAGGUUCAAAGUCAAACAUGUCAAAGAUAUCAUCUACAGGGCCUCCAAGCUCUUCUUCAACAAUAGAUAUUGCAGUCUCUGACGGAAAAGGUGGAACUUGAUCCUGCACAUGAAUAGCAAUUAAAUUCUUACCUAUAGAAUUUUAAAUUUAGAAAACCAUCUGGCCGGCAAAAACUCUUUCUCUUUUUGGGGAGGAAGUGGGGCCUAUAAGUAAUAAAAAAUUAUGAAAUGAUUUUGAACAGAACUUCUCUGUUUUGGAUUUCUUUUAAUGCCCUUCAUCUGACCUAUCUUGAAUAAAUUCUUCUCCAAGUAGAAGCUAACAUCCACAAUAAAAGAAUUUCACCCGAAAGUAUAAAUUUUAAAGUAAAGGAACUUCAACCUGUAGCUCUGACAACUGAUCAACAUAUUCUUGAGCAAAAAUGUCAACCAUCGCGGAGAACUGUUGGCCAACUUUGAUGAAAAUAGGGACCCAAUCUCAAGGUACUUUCCUUUCACCACUUUGUCAAGGUCUUCCACCUUAGAACUUGCUUUUCCUCAGUCAUUCCUCCUGCUUGUAUGCAACCUUAAAACUGGAUAUAUAACACCAAACAACUAGAAACCAUAAC
rnacentral:lncRNA from 1 species